GGCGCAAGGGUGCGUAACACGUGGGCAAUCUGCCAUGAAGUUCGGGAUAACUUGCUGAAAGGCGAGCUAAUACCGAAUGUGACCGACGGGAGGCAUCUCCUGUUGGUUAAAGCUGGGGACCGUAAGGCCUGGCGCUUCUUGAUGAGCCCGCGGCCUAUCAGCUAGUUGGUGAGGUAACGGCUCACCAAGGCUAAGACGGGUAGCUGGUCUGAGAGGACGACCAGCCACACUGGAACUGAGACACGGUCCAGACCCAUACGGGUGGCAGCAGUCGAGAAUUUUUCACAAUGGGCGCAAGCCUGAUGGAGCGACGCCGCGUGGGGGAUGAAUGGCUUCGGCCCGUAAACCCCUGUCAUUCGCGGAUCAAACCGUUAUUAUUUAAAAGAUGAUGACCUGAUAGUAGCGGAAGAGGAAGGGACGGCUAACUCUGUGCCAGCAGCCGCGG
rnacentral:rRNA from 1 species